rnacentral:rRNA from 1 species
GUCUAAGGCCAUGCUACCCUGAACAAGCCAGAUCCUGUCUGAUCUCAGAAGCUAAGGGUGGGGCCUGGUUAGUACUUGGAUGGGAGACCACCUAGGAAGACCAGGUACUGUAGGUG